rnacentral:rRNA from 1 species
UACAGAGGGGGCAAGCGUUAUUCGGAAUUAUUGGGCGUAAAGAGUGUGUAGGCGGUGCUCUAAGUUCGGUGUGAAAUCUCCCGGCUUAACUGGGAGGGUGCGCCGGAAACUGGAGUGCUCGAGCGUGGGAGAGGAAAGCGGAAUUCCUGGUGUAGCGGUGAAAUGCGUAGAUAUCAGGAGGAACACCUGCGGUGUAGACGGCUUUCUGGACCAUUGCUGACGCUGAGACACGAAAGCGUGGGUAGCAAACAGG